rnacentral:rRNA from 1 species
UACGGAGGGUGCAAACGUUGCUCGGAAUUAUUGGGCGUAAAGCGCACGUAGGCGGAUUGUUAAGUCGGAUGUGAAAGCCCUUGGCUUAACCAAGGAAGUGCAUUCGAAACUGGCAGUCUUGAGUACGGGAGAGGGUCGCGGAAUUCCCGGUGUAGAGGUGAAAUUCGUAGAUAUCGGGAGGAACACCAGUGGCGAAGGCGGCGACCUGGACCGAUACUGACGCUCAGGUGCGAAAGCGUGGGGAGCAAACAGG